rnacentral:rRNA from 1 species
UGGGGGAUAUUGCACAAUGGGGGAAACCCUGAUGCAGCGACGCCGCGUGGAGGAAGAAGGUUUUCGGAUUGUAAACUCCUGUCGUUAGGGACGAUAAUGACGGUACCUAACAAGAAAGCACCGGCUAACUACGUGCCAGCAGCCGCGGUAAAACGUAGGGUGCAAGCGUUGUCCGGAAUUACUGGGUGUAAAGGGAGCGCAGGCGGACCGGCAAGUUGGAAGUGAAAUCCAUGGGCUCAACCCGUGAAUUGCUUUCAAAACUGCUGGCCUUGAGUAGUGCAGAGGUAGGUGGAAUUCCCGGUGUAGCGGUGGAAUGCGUAGAUAUCGGGAGGAACACCAGUGGCGAAGGCGACCUACUGGGCACCAACUGACGCUGAGGCUCGAAAGCAUGGGUAGCAAACAGGAUUAGAUAUCCUGGUAGUCCAUGCCGUAAACGAUGAUUACUAGGUGUUGGAGGAUUGACCCCUUCAGUGCCGCAGUUAACACAAUAAGUAAUCCACCUGGGGAGUACGACCGCAAGGUUGAAACUCAAAGGAAUUGACGGGGGCCCGCACAAGCAGUGGAGUAUGUGGUUUAAUUCGAAGCAACGCGAAGAACCUUACCAGGUCUUGACAUCCGAUGCAUAGUGCAGAGAUGCAUGAAGUCCUUCGGGACAUCGAGACAGGUGGUGCAUGGUUGUCGUCAGCUCGUGUCGUGAGAUGUUGGGUUAAGUCCCGCAACGAGCGCAACCCUUAUUGCCAGUUACUACGCAAGAGGACUCUGGCGAGACUGCCGUUGACAAAACGGAGGAAGGUGGGGAUGACGUCAAAUCAUCAUGCCCUUUAUGACCUGGGCUACACACGUACUACAAUGGCGUUAAACAAAGAGAAGCAAGACCGCGAGGUGGAGCAAAACUCAAAAACAACGUCUCAGUUCAGAUUGCAGGCUGCAACUCGCCUGCAUGAAGUCGGAAUUGCUAGUAAUCGCGGAUCAGCAUGCCGCGGUGAAUACGUUCCC